CCUACGGGGGGCAGCAGUGAGGAAUAUUGGUCAAUGGGUGGGAGCCUGAACCAGCCAAGUCGCGUGAAGGAAGAAGGUACUUAGUAUUGUAAACUUCUUUUGUCGGGGAACAAAGGCGGAGACGCGUCUCCGGAUGAGUGUACCCGAAGAAAAAGCAUCGGCUAACUCCGUGCCAGCAGCCGCGGUAAUACGGAGGAUGCGAGCGUUAUCCGGAUUUAUUGGGUUUAAAGGGAGCGUAGGCCGGUCUUUAAGCGUGCCGUGAAAUUUUGUGGCUCAACCAUGAGAGUGCGGCGCGAACUGGAGACCUUGAGUGCGCGGAAGGCAGGCGGAAUGCGUGGUGUAGCGGUGAAAUGCUUAGAUAUCACGAAGAACCCCGAUUGCGAAGGCAGCCUGCCGCAGCGUUACUGACGCUGAAGCUCGAAAGCGCGGGUAUCGAACAGGAUUAGAUACCCCAGUAGUC
rnacentral:rRNA from 1 species